UACGUAGGUGGCAAGCGUUGUCCGGAUUUACUGGGCGUAAAGAGCUCGUAGGCGGCUUGGCAAGUCGGAUGUGAAACUCCAGGCUCAACCUGGAGCCGCCAUUCGAUACUGCUAUGGCUAGAGUCCGGUAGGGGAGUGUGGAAUUCCCGGUGUAGCGGUGAAAUGCACAGAUAUCGGGAGGAACACCGAUGGCGAAGGCAGCACUCUGGGCCGGUACUGACGCUGAGGAGCGAAAGCGUGGGAGCGAACGAGG
rnacentral:rRNA from 1 species